rnacentral:rRNA from 1 species
UACAGAGGGUGCAAGCGUUAAUCGGAAUUACUGGGCGUAAAGCGCUCGUAGGCGGAUAUUUAAGUCGGAUGUGAAAUCCCCGGGCUCAACCUGGGAACUGCAUUCGAGACUGGAUAUCUAGAGUAUGGUAGAGGAAAGUGGAAUUCCCGGUGUAGCGGUGAAAUGCAUAGAUAUCGGGAGGAACACCAGUGGCGAAGGCGGCUUUCUGGACCAAUACUGACGCUGAGGAGCGAAAGCGUGGGGAGCAAAC